AAGGAGCGCACGCGCGGAUGAAUCGGUUCGAAAGAUGGCCGGACGUGACUUGAAAGUGAAUACGGUCAUUUCGAUGAAAGAAAUUUAUAUUUAUUAUAUUAUAGGAUUGAGAAUAUCGAUUGAUUUUAUUUGAUUAUUGUAUGAUAUUUUUGAUUUGAGUGUAUGUGUGUAUAUGUAUGUAUAUGUGCCAUUACUGCUAAGAAGUUUUUAUAUUAUAUAAAAUUGGCGAAGGAACUUAACCUCUUCGUGCUUAUAUCAACAUUCAGAUAUCCAGGAAAAUAAGAAGAUGAGAAUGAAAAAGAAGAUAGCCUUGGAUGAUUGUUUCUCCUUUGACAUGUGGAAAAUGGACAAGAAUGCAAUAACAAUAGUCAAGGACAUGUCGUAUGCUGGUGGAAGCGGUUUGCAUUCAUGACAGAACAAUGUGACAUGGGAUUUGAUAGGUAUGGAACAGACUUGUGGGUCGAGGUUUGGGAAUAAAGAAGUUAUUUGUGAACAGAAUGAAAGAAAUGCUUAUAAUGCAGAAAUCUUAAAUUCUUAAAUAAGAAAUUUUAGAUAAAUACUCUUAAAAUUGUGAAAGAUCAAAAAAAAAAGAAGACUAAUUAUCUUAAUCAUUUUAAAUUCAAUGAACCAAUAAAUAUUUUUUUGAUUUAUGUAUCUUGAAAUAAAUAACAUGAAUAAUGAUGUAUUAUAACAUUCAUAGAAUACUUUCAGAGAAUUAAUUCUAAAUAUUAAAACAAACACAAAAGUUGAUAUACAAAAAUGUCAAUUGCAUUAAAGGAUAGAAUUCAUAAUAAAGCAGCAAAUAUACAAAUAAAAAAA